rfam:Camelus ferus unplaced genomic scaffold scaffold91, whole genome shotgun sequence.
GAGGGUAUAGCUCAGUGGUAGAGCACACGCUUAGCAUGCACAAGGUUCAGGGUUCAAGCCCCAGUACCUCCA